GACGAACCGAGCGAACGUUGUUCGGAAUCACUGGGCUUAAAGGGCGCGUAGGCGGGCAUCCAAGUCCGUGGUGAAAUCCGGCAGCUCAACUGUCGAACUGCCGCGGAUACUGGGUGUCUCGAGGGAGGUAGGGGCGUGCGGAACUAUUGGUGGAGCGGUGAAAUGCGUUGAUAUCAAUAGGAACUCCGGUGGCGAAGGCGGCACGCUGGACCUUUCUGACGCUGAGGCGCGAAAGC
rnacentral:rRNA from 1 species